UAAAUGGUUUUCUUUACCCCGUCUUGUAACACGGACCAAGGAGUCUAACACGUAUGCGAGUAGUAAGGUGGCAAACCUUGGAUGCGCAAUGAAAGUAAAUGUAGGUGGGAUCCGCAAGGUGCACCAUCGACCGACCAGGAUCUUUUUGUGAAAGGUUUGAGUAAGAGCAUAUUUGUUGGGACCCGAAAGAUGGUGAACUAUGCCUGAAUAGGGUGAAGCCGGAGGAAACUCCGGUGGAGGCUCGUAGCGGUACUGACGUGCAAAUCGUUCGUCAAAUUUGGGUAUAGGGGCGAAAGACUAAUCGAACCAUCUAGUAGCUGGUUCCCUCCGAAGUUUCCCUCAGGAUAGCUGGAGCUCAUACAAGUUUUAUCAGGUAAAGCGAAUGAUUAGAGG
rnacentral:rRNA from 1 species